AGUGAACGCUGGCGGUAGACCUAACACAUGCAAGUCGAACGGCAGCACAGUAAGAGCUUGCUCUUACGGGUGGCGAGUGGCGGACGGGUGAGGAAUACAUCGGCAUCUACUUUUUCUUGGGGGAUAACGUAGGGAAACUUAUGCUAAUACCGCAUACUACCUACGGGUGAAAGCAGGGGAUCUUCGCACCUUUCGCGUUUCAAUUAGCUGAUGUCGGAUUAGCUAGUUGGCGGGGUAAAGGCCCACCAAGGCGACGAUCCGUAGCUGGUCUGAGAGGAUGAUCAGCCACACUGGAACUGAGACACGGUCCAGACUCCUACGGGAGGCAGCAGUAGGGAAUAUUGGACAAUGGGCGCAAGCCUGAUCCAGCCAUACCGCGUGGGUGAAGAAGGCCUUCGGGUUGUAAAGCCCUUUUGUUGGGAAAGAAAAGAAGCAGGUGAAUACCCCGAUGUUCUGACGGUACCCAAAGAAUAAGCACCGGCUAACUUCGUG
rnacentral:rRNA from 1 species